UGCGUAGGUGGCAAGGUAAGUUCGAUGUGAAAUCCCCGGGCUCAACCCGGGAACGGCAUUGAAAACUAUCUAGCUCGAGGAUCGGAGGGGAGACUGGAAUUCUUGGUGUAGCAGUGAAAUGCGUAGAUAUCAAGAGGAACACCAGUGGCGAAGGCGAGUCUCUGGACGAAUCCUGACACUGAUGCACGAAAGCUAGGGGAGCAAACA
rnacentral:rRNA from 1 species